rnacentral:misc_RNA from 1 species
AAUAAUGAGUUCAAUUGGUUCAAAAGGCAACUACAUGAACUCUUGAUAAAGGCAGGACAAUGAAAAAUGUAAAGAAAACUGAUGAGUGAGGGCUCUUGGCCACUUCUAACCCAUCUAAUAGAAAACAUAGAAUCACAAAAAUCUAAGAUAAUGUUUAUGCCUCAACUACAAAAACAGAAACUCUAUGCUUGUUGCUGCUCAGGAAUCAUCGAUGCCUUGAAAGCUGAGACACAAUCAGAAAAUAGUAUUAUUCAACCUUGUAAUCAUCCAUGAUAGCAAGCAGAUACACAUAAACAGCCCUUUGGAAACAG